rnacentral:rRNA from 1 species
CUGACAGAUACUGACGCUGAGAUGCGAAAGCGUGGGGAGCAAACAGGAUUAGAUACCCUGGUAGUCCACGCUGUAAACGAUGUCGAUUUGGAGUUUGUUGCCUAGAGUGAUGGGCUCCGAAGCUAACGCGAUAAAUCGACCGCCUGGGGAGUACGGCCGCAAGGUUAAAACUCAAAUGAAUUGACGGGGGCCCGCACAAGCGGUGGAGCAUGUGGUUUAAUUCGAUGCAACGCGAAGAACCUUACCUGGUCUUGACAUCCAUAGAAUUCUGCAGAGAUGUGGGAGUGCCUUCGGGAACUAUGAGACAGGUGCUGCAUGGCUGUCGUCAGCUCGUGUUGUGAAAUGUUGGGUUAAGUCCCGCAACGAGCGCAACCCUUAUUCUUUGUUGCCAGCGAUUUGGUCGGGAACUCAAAGGAGACUGCCGUUGAUAAAGCGGAGGAAGGUGGGGACGACGUCAAGCCAUCAUGGCCCUUACGACCAGGGCUACACACGUGCUACAAUGGCGUAUACAAAGGGAAGCGAAGGUGCGAGCUGGAGCGGAUCUCAUAAAGUACGUCUAAGUUCGGAUUGGAGUCUGCAACUCGACUCCAUGAAGUCGGAAUCGCUAGUAAUCGUAGAUCAGAAUGCUACGGUGAAUACGUUCCCGGGCCUUGUACACACCGCCCGUCACACCAUGGGAGUGGGUUGCACCAGAAGUAGAUAGCUUAACCGCGAGGGGGGCGUUUACCACGGUGUGAUUCAUGACUGGGGUGAAGUCGUAACAAGGUAACCA